UGUUUUUACGUGGUACCGAUUGACUGUG
rnacentral:piRNA from 1 species